rnacentral:rRNA from 1 species
GACAGAGGGUGCGAACGUUGUUCGGAAUUACUGGGCGUAAAGCGCGUGUAGGCGGUGGCGCAAGUCGGGUGUGAAAGCCCUGGGCUCAACCCAGGAAGUGCAUUCGAUACUGCGUCACUAGAGUCUCGGAGAGGAUGGUGGAACUCUCGGUGUAGAGGUGAAAUUCGUAGAUAUCGAGAAGAACACCGGUGGCGAAGGCGGCCAUCUGGACGGUGACUGACGCUGAGACACGAAAGCGUGGGUAGCAAACAGG